rnacentral:rRNA from 1 species
AGCGAACGCUGGCGGCAGGCCUAACACAUGCAAGUCGAACGAACCUUUCGGGGUUAGUGGCGGACGGGUGCGUAACACGUGGGAACGUGCCUUUAGGUUCGGAAUAACUCAGGGAAACUUGUGCUAAUACCGAAUGUGCCCUUCGGGGGAAAGAUUAAUCGCCUUUAGAGCGGCCCGCGUCUGAUUAGCUAGUUGGUUGAGGUAAUGGCUCACCAAGGCGACGAUCAGUAGCUGGUCUGAGAGGAUGAUCAGCCACAUUGGGACUGAGACACGGCCCAAACUCCUACGGGAAGCAGCAGUGGGGAAUCUUGCGCAAUGGGCGAAAGCCUGACGAAGCCAUGCCGCGUGAAUGAUGAAGGUCUUAGGAUUGUAAAAUUCUUUCACCGGGGACGAUAAUGACGGUACCCGGAGAAGAAGCCCCGGCUAACUUCGUG